rnacentral:lncRNA from 1 species
ACCCAAACCUUGGUACCUUGACCCAAACCUGGUGAUCUAGUCCUUGAACCCGGAACUGGAUCCGGACCUCGGACCUUGACCCAACUUCGGUACCUGGACCCGAACCUGGACCCACCUUGAAACCUGGACCUGAACCUGGACCCAAACCUUGGGACCUAGACCCGGACCUGGACCCGACCCUCGGGACCUGUACCCCAUCUUCGGCACCUGGACCCGAACCUGAACCCAAACCGUGGUACCUUGACCCAAACCUGGACCCGGAGCUGGGGUCCUGGACCUCGGGACCUGGAACUGAUCAUGGAACCGAACAUUGGACCUGAACCCGAACCUCGGAACCUGGACCCGGAACUGGAACCGAGCCUCGGGACCUGGACCCAAACCUGGACCCGGACCUGGACCCGAACCUCGGGACCUGGACCCGGACCUUAAGACCUGGACCCAAACCUGGCCAGAAACUCAGGACCUGGACCCCGGACCUUGGGACCCGGACCCGAACCUGGACCCAACCCUUGGUCGUGUUACUGUUUUUUCCUUCAACGACGUUGUGCGUCUACAGAAUGACCUGCAGGACCAUGGAUCUUCUCCAUGGUUCUACUCUCUUGGAUCUUUCAUUCAUGAAUUGUUCAAUGAAAACCUUAUUACACAACCCAAGGCUUAAUCAAAGAGUGUAUUUUUCGGCCAGUAUGCAUUAAUUAAGGUUUAUUGAGAGACAGAGAAAUGCUCUUCUGCAUCCAUUAAAAAGUACUCUUGGAGACCAAAGCGUGCCUUAUCGAUGACUUACCGGUGAACACUUUCAAUCAUAGAGACACCAGCCAGUCAGGGCCAUUCACCAUCAGGGAAACCACAGCCCGUAGUCUACUAGAGUUGUGACGUUCACGAACGAACCGAAUCUAUUGAACGGCUUUUUUUUUUAUCGAUGUCACGUUCACAGCACGCGCACACAAACUCCUCCUACUCCACUGAGACGAGGGCAUGCAGAGUGCACUCGUGGUGGAACGUUGACACGCA